AUGCUUAACUGGCAGGGGAGAUACCAUGAUCACAAAGGUGGUUUUCCCAGGGCGAGGCUUAUCCAUUGCCCUCUGGAUGUGCUGACCCCUGCGAUUUCCCCAAAUGUGGGAAACUCGACUGCACAAUUUGUGGUAGUGGGGGACUGUGUUCGCGCUUUCCCUUG
ensembl:snRNA RNU1-67P RNA, U1 small nuclear 67, pseudogene